AGUCGAGGGGCAGCAUGGUCUUAGCUUGCUAAGGCCGAUGGCGACCGGCGCACGGGUGAGUAACACGUAUCCAACCUGCCGUCUACUCUUGGACAGCCUUCUGAAAGGAAGAUUAAUACAAGAUGGCAUCAUGAGUCCGCAUGUUCACAUGAUUAAAGGUAUUCCGGUAGACGAUGGGGAUGCGUUCCAUUAGAUAGUAGGCGGGGUAACGGCCCACCUAGUCUUCGAUGGAUAGGGGUUCUGAGAGGAAGGUCCCCCACAUUGGAACUGAGACACGGUCCAAACUCCUACGGGAGGCAGCAGUGAGGAAUAUUGGUCAAUGGGCGAGAGCCUGAACCAGCCAAGUAGCGUGAAGGAUGACUGCCCUAUGGGUUGUAAACUUCUUUUAUAAAGGAAUAAAGUCGGGUAUGCAUACCCGUUUGCAUGUACUUUAUGAAUAAGGAUCGGCUAACUCCGUGCCAGCAGCCGCGGUAAUACGGAGGAUCCGAGCGUUAUCCGGAUUUAUUGGGUUUAAAGGGAGCGUAGAUGGAUGUUUAAGUCAGUUGUGAAAGUUUGCGGCUCAACCGUAAAAUUGCAGUUGAUACUGGAUAUCUUGAGUGCAGUUGAGGCAGGCGGAAUUCGUGGUGUAGCGGUGAAAUGCUUAGAUAUCACGAAGAACUCCGAUUGCGAAGGCGGCCUGCUAAGCUGCAACUGACAUUGAGGCUCGAAAGUGUGGGUAUCAAACAGGAUUAGAUACCCUGGUAGUCCACACGGUAAACGAUGAAUACUCGCUGUUUGCGAUAUACAGCAAGCGGCCAAGCGAAAGCGU
rnacentral:rRNA from 1 species